rnacentral:rRNA from 1 species
AUUGAACGCUGGCGGCAUGCCUUACACAUGCAAGUCGAACGGUAACGGGCCUUCGGGUGCCGACGAGUGGCGAACGGGUGAGUAAUGCAUCGGAACGUACCUUUCAGUGGGGGAUAACGUAGCGAAAGUUACGCUAAUACCGCAUAUUCUGUGAGCAGGAAAGCAGGGGAUCGCAAGACCUUGCGCUGAUUGAGCGGCCGAUGUCAGAUUAGCUAGUUGGUGAGGUAAAGGCUCACCAAGGCGACGAUCUGUAGCGGGUCUGAGAGGAUGAUCCGCCACACUGGAACUGAGACACGGUCCAGACUCCUACGGGAGGCAGCAGUGGGGAAUUUUGGACAAUGGGGGCAACCCUGAUCCAGCCAUGCCGCGUGAGUGAAGAAGGG